rnacentral:rRNA from 1 species
UACGGAGGGUGCAAGCAUUAAUCGGAAUUAUUGGGCGUAAAGGGCGCGUAGGCGGGACUAUAAGUCAGAUGUGAAAUUUCGAGGCUCAACUUCGGAGCUGCAUUUGAAACUAUAGAUCUUGAGGAUAGGCGGAGGAAACGGAAUUCCACGUGUAGCGGUGAAAUGCGUAGAUAUGUGGAAGAACACCUGUGGCGAAAGCGGUUUUCUAGCUUAAACCUGGACGCUGAGGCGCGAGAGCAAGGGGAGCAAACAGG